UAGCACCAUUUUUUACAGCCCCAGAAGAAAGAAAUCCACUUUUUAAUUAGAGCUGCAGCAGUUUAUACAUCUGUGUCUGGCAGUGGACUCAGCCCUGUCAUGUUGCCUGCGACAGCAGCAGCACUGUGGGCUCAGUGGAGGUGCUGACCUCUCAGAGCAGUGAAGAGAUCUCAGCAGAGCAAUGUCUGCCUUCAGAUAUCAGCUACUCCACUAGGGAAAAUAAUGCUUUGGGGAUCCCUGCUUUACCCUCCUUUGCCAAAAGGUACCAUGCUCACUCUGACCCUGUGGAAGUGGAGUUGGAAGAUUUUUGAGGCGUGCCCCUGGACCAGAUGCGGUACCCCUUGCCCCAAGUCCCGAUGACCUUUUGCUCAGCUUGUGGUUUGUGCCCGUGACUGCCACGUCCUCAGCAAGCAGGGAUUACCUUUUGCAAUCAGAUGUUCGAAAUGGAGCGUACUCAGUCUGGCUUUUUUGUGGCUGUUGCCCUUAUGAUAGAGGAAAAAUAUCCUCCCGUCGUGUAUUUAUUACCAUUCUGUAUACAACAUCCAGAGCAGAGUCUCCCUGUGUCACCAGAUGCUGCGGGAAUCUCGCUGCCCCGGCGGGCAGGAGGGCUCAGCCUGGAGCGGGAGAAAUGUAAAAACUCAGUGUGAUGGAAUAAUUAAUGCAGCUGAUUAAAGGGGAAGAUUACACAUUAACAGAGGAAGAUAAGCACUAAAUUUCCAGCCUUAUUGCAUUUCAAACUUGAAUAUAUUGGUUCCAAAGGUGGCUGCAGACUUAUUUGCCUGUCUCUAUAUGAGAACACCAGCAGACAGGACUGACCAGGGACAGGGGAACACGCAGCCCUCCACUCUUGUCAUUUUCCCACGGGGGACUGUGGGGGUGUAAAAGGCCCAUGGUGGUACAAACAUGGCCAGGCAAUUCCCAGAACAUCCAGUGUGAGGCUGCAAAGACUACAAUCACAUUGCAUCACUUAGAUGUAAUCCAGCACGAGGAAGGAUCUCCUGAAGGGUAAUCUCCUUGGGGUUCAUGCUGUGCAUCUGUGCUUAAGCAUUUAGGCAUCUGUGACUGUCUUUGGUGGAAGAACAUAGGCCUGUAAA